rnacentral:tRNA from 1 species
GGGGUCGUAGCUCAGUUGGCUAGAGCACCUGCUUUGCAUGCAGGGGGUCAGGGGUUCGAAUCCCCUCGACUCCACCA